UGCCCUCCCUGUGCACCCUCUCCUGAUCCGCGUUUCUGCUGGCGGCGCCGCCACCUCCUCCGAUUCCGGACGACAGCGGCUGCUUCCGUGCUGCCCUUCACCGGCGCGAGAUCGGCUGCCUCAUAUCUAGCGAUUCCCAUCACCGUUUCUUCCUUCUACAUCCUCAACUGCGGCCUCGACUAACCCUAGCCGCCUCAGUCUCCGGCGACCAUGGAGGGCUCGGAUCUUUCCUCCCUGGGACUAGAUCUCUACCAUGACAGCCCAAGGAGGAAGAGGGCCUUGUUGCUUCUUGCUGUCCACGAGCACGUUGCGCGUUGCUUGUUGAGCGGACAUGUCCGUGUGAUGAAACCAUUCAGGUGAAGGAGAGCCUCAUUGAGGAGUCGAAUGUGCAGUUGGAGAACAGCCCGUCACAGUGUGCAGCGGCAUCCUCGGGUGCAUUCGUGGAUCACGGUUCAACAGGCUUGAGGUAUUCACCGUUCUUUUGCUUCUCAAAGGGAGUUACUACAUGAAUACCAGCUUGACUAAGCUACUGUCAUGAUGAAAGCCUUGAGCAUAUUGGAGAUUAAUUGUUCAUGGAGUGUCAACUCUAUUUCAUUAUAUACUGUAAUUAAAUUAGUAUAUUUUUUCUGGCCGGUUAUGAUUUAUGGCUACUGAACUUUAAUGCACAUAUGUCAAUUGAAUUUAGUGAUGCACGGUAUGCUAGAUGUAGUUAGUGAGACAGCAGAUGAGAGUUCAUAUGUGACGGUUGUAUCUACGACUGCAACAAACCAUGAAAGAUAAGCUAGAACAUGCAUGUGGCUAUUACUUGAUACUCUUACUUGAUACUCUCCUUUUCUUCAGAAUGGGACAAUUGAUUCAUGCUUGAUAAAGUUUCUCCAUGGUAACAUACUUACUUACUCCAUAGUGGUGAAACCAAACAACUGUUAGUGACAAAUAUUACUUGCGUGGAAGGUUUAUACAGGUUAACCUACACAAUUGCAACUAAACCAAUCCUAUAAUUCAUGCGUCCUAAUACUUGUUUCUUUCCUAAGGUGUAUGGUUUUUAUGAAUUGUUAAAGGAAGUAUGGGAAUGUGAACGCAUGGAGCGUGGUAUUGUGCUAAUGCUUUUGAUUACCUUACACUUUCGGCAAUCAUUAACGGCUCGGUCCUCUGUUUUCGUGGUGGCCUUUCACCUGAUGCACGCACGAUUGACCCAGGUUUGUUUAUCUUCACUUUUUGCUCAUAUUCCUGAAUUAGUGUUUUCAUCCAUACUACUGGUGAAAUCAGAUUUAAGAUAAAUAUUCACAUAGUCCCGUGUCCUUAAGUCAUGUACUACUUACUUAAAGGAUUUAAUUAGGUCAAGCAUCUAAUAUUGCUUUGAGCAGCUUCAUAUGUUGUUUGAACGGUGUACUAAACUAUGAAUCAGUGCAAACAUAAAAAAUACAUGGCUCUUAUUGUUGUACUAUAAUAUUCCAUCAAACAACAUUCUGCAUAUGGAUUGUCUUCCGUCGGUGUCCUUUUGUUUGGCGU